rnacentral:tRNA from 1 species
AAGACACUAGUAAAACAGAAAAUCACAUUACCUUGUCAAGGUAAAAUUGUGGGUUAAAGUCCCGCGCGUCUUG